rnacentral:rRNA from 1 species
UAGGGAAUUGUUCGCAAUGGGCGCAAGCCUGACGACGCAACGCCGCGUGGAGGAUGAAGACCUUCGGGUCGUAAACUCCUUUCGAUUGGGACGAAUGUCUUGGGGGUGAACAAUCCCUGAGAGUGACGGUACCGAGAGAAGAAGCCCCGGCUAACUCCGUGCCAGCAGCCGCGGUAAUACGGGGGGGGCAAGCGUUGUUCGGAAUUACUGGGCGUAAAGGGCUCGUAGGUGGCCAACUAAGUCGGACGUGAAAUCCCUCGGCUUAACCGGGGAACUGCGUCCGAUACUGGAUGGCUCGAGAUUGGGAGAGGGAUGCGGAAUUCCAGGUGUAGCGGUGAAAUGCGUAGAUAUCUGGAGGAACACCGGUGGCGAAGGCGGCAUCCUGGACCAACACUGACACUGAGGAGCGAAAGCCAGGGGAGCAAACGGGAUUAGAUACCCGCGUAGUCC